AUGUUGAUUCAGUUGUAAAGUCUUCAAAGAUUUAGGCUUGCAAAAGGGCCUUGCACAACUGUAGGAUUUUAUUUAUUUAUGCAUUGUUAUUGACUUUAAAAUAUUCUUUUUUCUCCCCACAGAGAACUUUUCCAACCAGCAGUGGGGCCCUUAGCAGGGGAGACUGGAAACAGAUAUGGUGAUUAAAUGAUCCACACACGGGCUGGGCGCGGUAGCUCACGCCUGUAAUCCCAGCACUUUGAGAGGCUGAGGCAGGCGGAUCACCUGAGGUCAGAAGUUCGAGACCAGCCUGACCAACAUGGAGAAACCCCAUCUCUACUAAAAAUACAAAAUUAGCCGGGCAUGGUGGUGCAUGUCUGUAAUCUCAGCUACUUGGGAGGCUGAGGCAGGAGAAUCGCUUGAAUCCAGGAGGUGGAUGUUGCGACCCUUUAUGCAUUGAAAGAAGAAAGUAGAACCAUUUCUGGGUCCCAGCUGUGGGAAGACCUCCUGUUGCUGUGGAUUCUGACUUCUGGGUCUUGGCGCAGGGUGUGGCCAGCAAGCUAAGCUGUCCUGAGGGUGUGCUGGGCCAGGGGCUGAAGACAGUGUUGGAGCAUCCACAGACUGGUUUGUCUCAAGAAGCAUGUUACUAAAUAUGAAAUAGCAAAAUCUGCAAGUGGGUUUACUUUUCCCCAGUAGAUUAGAAUGGAUUCAAUAUUAUCUCUUUAUUAACUUCACUUUUAAUCACUUGCAUAGCAAGUAGGACAGAAAGGUGGCUUGAAAGUCAAUCAUCUGAGAAUUCCAGAUAAAUUGACUUUGCUCACAACAAUCUGGUAUUCAUGUGACUAUCAACUGUCAUGUGUGCUGGGGCAAAAAAAGAUUAAGAUUCACUGGUCUCAGUUCCAGGAGGGGAAACCCAGGAUUGAAUUUUUUCAGCCUUCUAUGAUAAAAUUUCCUGCUCUGUGGGUGCGCCAAAGCUUUUUUCAGUUUCCUAAACUCCCAUAUUCAAGAAGAGAAGCUAUUUUCUCUUCUUUCUCAUCCUUCCUUGACAAAGCAAAACAUAUUUUCAUUGUCUACUCUGUGUCAUCCAUGCUUGGUUCCUGUCCUCAAACAGCUUGUAGUUCAAAUAAAGGAGAGGGAGAAUUUUACAAGGGAAUUAAAGGUAAAAGUUUCUGAAAGCCAGUUAAAAAAGUCGUGAGGGAGGGGUCUGGGAGAAGCUGAGCAGGGGUGAAAGGGUACGAAACAUUAUGGAAGGAGAACGGGGAACACCCUGACUACUGGGUGGAAACACCAAUCAGUGGGUAGAAACCACACAGUGGUAACACUGAUUAGUGGGUAGAAACCAAUGACAGCAGGUAUAUGAGGCAUGGAGCACUUGGCUUAUUGUAAAGUUUUCAAGAUAUGUGGUCCUUUCUAUCCACCAGGGGAUGGGAGUUUUCUUUGUAUAUCAGCCAUGGAAGGGCUGUUUUGGUUCAUCGUUCUGUGGUCUACCUGGGUAGACCUGAAGCAGCCGUGUUUCUGAGGAAAGGAAGAACAGCUUUUGUUUUGUGAUAUUUAAUGGUAGAUGUAGUGCCAUGGAAUGAUGCAGAUUUCAUUCAGAUAUUCUUGGAUCUUGGCCCCAGGACUCACUCAUUCUUCCCUAUAUGAGCAUUGGUAGUUACAGGUUUUAUCCUUCCUUUAACUGUCUUUUGAAGGCAAAAACUAUAUCCAAUUUGUCACUGUCUCCUAACAGUACUUAGCAGUGUCUGAUGCAUCUUAGGGAGUUUGUAAAUGUUUGGAUGAAUAAAGGGAAAACAAAAACAACAACAAAAAACCUUCAUUUUGCUUUAAUAAAAAUAUUUUAACUAGUUUCCACUGGUAUGUUGUAGAUAUAUUCUAAGAAACAGUAUCUUCAAAUGAUGGCUUCAAUAAUGGAUGAAAAAUCGAUUUCCUAAUGAAUUAUUUUAUAGAAAGCACCACACACACACCCACACACACACCCAACAUCAAUUAAAAAGUCAUUUGAAAUUUUAAGAACUAUAGGAUAAUAAUAGGUAAUCCAUGUGAAGUUAUGACAGCUUGUAAGGCCAGGGAGGGCAUGAGGAAAUGAAACACACAGAUCAUCUUCAAACCACAGAAGCUCAGACUUCUCUUGCUCUGAAAGUUGACGAUCAGUGAAAAGCCCAGUGGUAGUUGAGUUUUACCUCCUCUUCUUCUGUAUAAUCCCUUUUUUGGUGAAAGCAGAGAUGUCAUGGACAAUGUAGGAUUUCAUCAAAUCUGAGAGGCCAUUGAUUGUAAGACGGCAUUGUUUUAGGUAUCACUAAGAAAGAAAAAAAGCCUUGCCAAGUAAACUCCCCAAAUUCAGAGACAUUCAAAUGUUGAAAAAUAACUGUUUCAGAAUCUAUGAAAUACAGACAAUUCUCCCUAAUGCUUGGCCCAGGGCUUUGCAUACCACAGGUGGUCAAUAAGCAUUUGUUGAGUGAGUGAAUAAUGUUGACCAGCAGAAAUGCCUGGUUUAUAAUGCCUAGAGCCCAUCACUGAGAACAAUGGGCUAGAUCCCUUCUUGAUGUUUUAAGUAAUCGCUGAGAGAAUG